CUCUUAUCCUAUUCAUAGAGGAAUGUCCAAAGAAUCUCUCAAAUACACAUUCAAUAUCAUUGGAAUUAUAAAAGGGGAUUUGGACACAGACAACUUGUUGAAGGAGACUGAUUACCACAUAGUAUGAAGUGAAAACCGGACAGGACAGUCAGGCGAGCUUUAAUGGUGUCUGAGCCCCCGAUUUUGGUGCACUUCAUUCCCACCAGAGCGAGGAUAGCUCCGAAAAACCCCAGACACACUGCUGCUAUCAUGAGACCCCUGCAAACCUGAAUGUAUAUAAAACUAUUUACCACUUGGGCUAGACUCACCAUCCAGAGCCAGCAUCGAGGGAAAGUCCUUGCAGUUGGAGACUCCAGUGGAGUCGGUGACGCAGGUCUUCCACAAAUUUGACCAAAAUGUUGCUGUGGUGAUGACUGUCCCAUCUACGGAUGACACCUUCCAGUAGUCAGUGGGAAGCGUGGAUGACACCAGAAUCCAGCCUGAAAUAGUCAAGAGAAAAGCCACUAUCUCUGUCCCCAUGCUCCCCAUCCUCUCCGCUCCUCUGGCCUUGAUUUGGGACUCUCGGCGGGGUGCACAGGUGGGACUAAAU